rnacentral:rRNA from 1 species
AUGGAUUCCGGUGCGAUACACGUCCAGAUGCCCGUGACCGGCGAAGAAUGCCCGCCUCAGGAAGCGAAGCCAGUCAAGGGCAAGUCGCCGGUGGACAAGACGCUGUCGGGCGCGUCGGACCUGCUGAAGCUGCUGCCGACGGGCACGGUGCUGGCGUUCCAGGCCCUGGCGCCGUCCUUCACCAACCACGGCGUCUGCCACACGGCCAACCGGUACCUGGUGCUGGCGCUCAUCGGCGGCUGCGCGCUCUCCUGCGUGCUCCUCUCCUUCACGGACAGCCUCGUCGGCCGCGACGGCAAGCUCUACUACGGCAUCGCCACGUUCCGGUCCUUCUACCCGUUCAACUUCGCCGGCGCGGCCGCCGAGCAGGACGCCAUGUUCAGCGACCUGGGCCGGUUCAGGCUCACCGGGCUCGACUUCGUGCACGCCGUCUUCUCCGCGGUCGUGUUCCUGGCCGUGGCCUUCUCCGACGCCGGCAUACAGAGCUGCCUGUUCCCGGACGCCGGCGCGGACGUGAGGGAGCUGCUGGUGAACCUGCCGCUCGGGGCGGGGUUCCUGUCCAGCGUGGUGUUCAUGAUCUUCCCCACCACCAGGAAGAGCGUCGGCUAUACGGACAUGACGCCCCACUCCCAUUCGCACUGA